rnacentral:rRNA from 1 species
GCAGCUACCAUGCAGUCGAGCGGAACGAGUUAUCAGAACCUUCGGGGAACGAUAACGGCGUCGAGCGGCGGACGGGUGAGUAAUGCCUAGGAAAUUGCCCUGAUGUGGGGGAUAACCAUUGGAAACGAUGGCUAAUACCGCAUGAUGCCUACGGGCCAAAGAGGGGGACCUUCGGGCCUCUCGCGUCAGGAUAUGCCUAGGUGGGAUUAGCUAGUUGGUGAGGUAAGGGCUCACCAAGGCGACGAUCCCUAGCUGGUCUGAGAGGAUGAUCAGCCACACUGGAACUGAGACACGGUCCAGACUCCUACGGGAGGCAGCAGUGGGGAAUAUUGCACAAUGGGCGCAAGCCUGAUGCAGCCAUGCCGCGUGUGUGAAGAAGGCCUUCGGGUUGUAAAGCACUUUCAGUCGUGAGGAAGGUAGUGUAGUUAAUAGCUGCAUUAUUUGACGUUAGCGACAGAAGAAGCACCGGCUAACUCCGUGCCAGCAGCCGCGGUAAUACGGAGGGUGCGAGCGUUAAUCGGAAUUACUGGGCGUAAAGCGCAUGCAGGUGGUUUGUUAAGUCAGAUGUGAAAGCCCGGGGCUCAACCUCGGAAUAGCAUUUGAAACUGGCAGACUAGAGUACUGUAGAGGGGGGGUAGAAUUUCAGGUGUAGCGGUGAAAUGCGUAGAGAUCUGAAGGAAUACCGGUGGCGAAGGCGGCCCCCUGGACAGAUACUGACACUCAGAUGCGAAAGCGUGGGGAGCAAACAGGAUUAGAUACCCUG